rnacentral:rRNA from 1 species
UACGUAGGGUGCGAGCGUUAAUCGGAAUUACUGGGCGUAAAGCGUGCGCAGGCGGUUGUGUAAGACAGAUGUGAAAUCCCCGGGCUCAACCUGGAAACUGCAUUUGUGACUGCACAGCUGGAGUGCGGCAGAGGGGGAUGGAAUUCCGCGUGUAGCAGUGAAAUGCGUAGAUAUGCGGAGGAACACCGAUGGCGAAGGCAGGUCUCUGGGCAUUAACUGACGCUGAGGAGCGAAAGCAUGGGGAGCGAACAGG